AAGUCCCAUCUGUCUGCCUCUUU
rnacentral:miRNA from 14 species